UACGAAGGGGGCUAGCGUUGCUCGGAAUCACUGGGCGUAAAGCGCACGUAGGCGGCUUACUAAGUCAGGGGUGAAAUCCUGGAGCUCAACUCCAGAACUGCCUUUGAUACUGAAGAUCUUGAGUCCGGGAGAGGUGAGUGGAACUGCGAGUGUAGAGGUGAAAUUCGUAGAUAUUCGCAAGAACACCAGUGGCGAAGGCGGCUCACUGGCCCGGUACUGACGCUGAGGCACGAAAGCGUGGGGAGCAAACAGG
rnacentral:rRNA from 1 species